GACGUAGGAUGCGAGCGUUAUUCGGAUUUAUUGGGCGUAAAGCGUACGUAGGCGGCUGUUUAAGUCUGGUGUUAAAGCUAGGGGCUCAACCCCUGUGGUGCAUCGGAUACUGGGCAGCUUGAGUGCGGUAGGGGAAGGUGGAAUUCCGAGUGUAGCGGUGAAAUGCGUAGAUAUUCGGAAGAACACCGGUGGCGAAGGCGACCUUCUGGGCCGCAACUGACGCUGAGGCACGAAAGCCUGGGGAGCGAACGGG
rnacentral:rRNA from 1 species